rnacentral:rRNA from 1 species
GUGGGGAAUAUUGCGCAAUGGGCGAAAGCCUGACGCAGCAACGCCGCGUGAGGGAUGAAGGCCUUCGGGUUGUAAACCUCUUUCAGCAGGAACGAACACAGACGGUACCUGCAGAAGAAGCACCGGCUAACUACGUGCCAGCAGCCGCGGUAAUACGUAGGGUGCAAGCGUUGUCCGGAUUUAUUGGGCGUAAAGAGCUCGUAGGCGGUCUGUCGCGUCGAAUGUGAAAACCCGGGGCUCAACUCCGGGCCUGCAUUCGAUACGGGCAGACUAGAGUUCGGUAGGGGAGACUGGAAUUCCUGGUGUAGCGGUGAAAUGCGCAGAUAUCAGGAGGAACACCGGUGGCGAAGGCGGGUCUCUGGGCCGAUACUGACGCUGAGGAGCGAAAGCGUGGGGAGCAAACAGG